rnacentral:tRNA from 1 species
GGAGGGUAUAGCUCAGUGGUAGAGUAUCUGCUUAGCAUGUACAAGAUCCUGGGUUCAAUCCCCAGUACCUCCA